rnacentral:ncRNA from 11 species
UAUCACAGCCAGCUUUGAGGAGCG